GUGUGUGUGUCGCCAGAACUAAGAAGGGGGAAACCCCUUGUUAUCACAAAAUCAGUAAAUUGAAGCCCUAAUUGUGAUUCUAAGUUCAUGCAUGUCUUGAUUCCUUGAUCAUCUAAGCAUACUUAAGUACAAGGAGUAAAAGAAGAAGAAACGAGCCAAUCCGGAACACAAGCGAAAAACAAUAGAGGUAAAUCAACGUGUUAGGUGACGCCAAGUUCGGAACGGACACACCAUCUCGCAUGCUUCCGCUACGAUACUUAACUAAAUGGGUCAAAACUUUUGUUGGAAACUUCUAUGUUAUAUUUUAGUCUUAUGUAAAUACUUAACUUUAAAAGAUGUCGGAACUUUUGUUGUUUAUGUUUAUGGUGGUUAUCUCGAAUCUGGAUGUAAACUUUUAUGUAGUUAACUCGGUUCGUUUAUGUCAAUGUUUAUGGUAACAAUUUUAUAA